AUGCGAUAAGUAAUGUGAAUUGCAGAAUUCAGUGAAUCAUCGAAUCUUUGAACGCACCUUGCGCCUUUUGGUAUUCCGAAAGGCAUGCCUGUUUGAGUGUCAUGAAAUCUCAAUCCCCCCGGGUUUUCUGAACCCGAGGUGGACUUGGACAUGGGUGUCUGCCGUCUCGCACGGCUCACCUUAAAUGACUCAGUGGAAUCUUCAGCAUCCGUGGCAGACGUAAUAAGUUUCGUCUCGUCCCUUGCUGUGAGGACCGCUCAUAACCCGCCAUCGCGCACCAUUAUGACUCUGACCUCAAAUCAGGUAGGACUACCCGCUGAACUUAA
rnacentral:misc_RNA from 1 species